rnacentral:rRNA from 1 species
UAGGGAAUCUUCCACAAUGGACGAAAGUCUGAUGGAGCAACGCCGCGUGAGUGAUGAAGGGUUUCGGCUCGUAAAACUCUGUUGUUGGAGAAGAACGGGUGUCAGAGUAACUGUUGACAUCGUGACGGUAUCCAACCAGAAAGCCACGGCUAACUACGUGCCAGCAGCCGCGGUAAUACGUAGGUGGCAAGCGUUGUCCGGAUUUAUUGGGCGUAAAGCGAGCGCAGGCGGUUUUUUAGGUCUGAUGUGAAAGCCUUCGGCUUAACCGGAGAAGUGCAUCGGAAACCGGGAGACUUGAGUGCAGAAGAGGACAGUGGAACUCCAUGUGUAGCGGUGAAAUGCGUAGAUAUAUGGAAGAACACCAGUGGCGAAGGCGGCUGUCUGGUCUGCAACUGACGCUGAGGCUCGAAAGCAUGGGUAGCGAACAGGAUUAGAUACCCUGGUAGUCCAUGCCGUAAACGAUGAGUGCUAAGUGUUGGAGGGUUUCCGCCCUUCAGUGCUGCAGCUAACGCAUUAAGCACUCCGCCUGGGGGAGUACGACCGCAAGGUUGAA